rnacentral:lncRNA from 1 species
UUGGGACUUAGACUCAUUAAGAGUUAUACAAACAAACUCAUCCUACCGCUUGCUUUUAUGAGCACUAGCGCCAUAGGGAUGACAAAAAUAUGAAACAGUGCUCCUCUUAGUCAUACUCCAGUUUGUUCUACUCAUUGAACCUUUUAAGGUUAGGUUCCCACCGUGGUGAUCUAUCUUUAUGGGUUAAGCCCCAUCCCCCUUGAG